AAUAAGCGGAGGAAAAGAAACCAACAGGGAUUGCCUCAGUAGCGGCGAGUGAAGCGGCAAAAGCUCAAAUUUGAAAUCUGGCGUCUUUGGCGUCCGAGUUGUAAUUUGAAGAAGGUAUCUUUGGGCCCGGCUCUUGUCUAUGUUUCUUGGAACAGGACGUCACAGAGGGUGAGAAUCCCGUACGAUGAGAUGACCCGGGUCUGUGUAAAGUUCCUUCGACGAGUCGAGUUGUUUGGGAAUGCAGCUCUAAGUGGGUGGUAAAUUCCAUCUAAAGCUAAAUAUUGGCGAGAGACCGAUAGCGAACAAGUACAGUGAUGGAAAGAUGAAAAGAACUUUGAAAAGAGAGUGAAAAAGUACGUGAAAUUGUUGAAAGGGAAGGGCUUGAGAUCAGACUUGGUAUUUUGCAUGUUGCUCUCUCGGGGGCGGCCGCUGCGGUUUACCGGGCCAGCAUCGGUUUGGAGCGGCAGGAUAAUGGCGGAGGAAUGUGGCACGGCUUCUGCUGUGUGUUAUAGCCUCUGACGAUACUGCCAGCCUAGACCGAGGACUGCGGUUUUUACCUAGGA
rnacentral:rRNA from 1 species